CAGAGAACCCUGGGCUCUUCAUUGAUAAUGUGACCCAGGUCCUCACCUGCACAGGUUUUCAGGAAUCAUCAUCUUCCAGUCCAGUGGUUGCAGAAGACAACGCAAUAAAAAACAACUCAGUUACUGAAAGUUUUCCACUACUCUACAGAUUUUAUUUGAAAGACUACAAGAAUAAACAUGUCUUCAUACACAUCUUGACAGGUCUAUUAACUGACUUUUUAUUGAUCAUCUUACUUAUUACCAUGACUAUGGCUAAGCACUCAUGAGCAAUUAGGUAUGGUAAUAAUGAGCUAACGUUACAAAAUACCAAACAUGGACAAAUGCAGGCUCUGACUUAUCAGUGUAGAAAUAAAGGUGUGGAAGCAAAGUUGAAGUUGAAUAAAGAGACAAUAUCAGACAGAUGAAAUCAGUGUUGCCUCUCCACAGUUUAAACAGAACUAAAGGACACUUAGGUCUCAUUUUAGGCUAUCAUGUUGUAACUCUGGUUCAAAAUCGAAGUGAAGGUCAAACGAUAUUCAUCUUAAUUUGUGUUUUCAGUAUCUCAGCUAUACUACAGAGAAACAUGGUUUUACAACAGCCUCUUUGCACACCUAAUUUCUGCUUUCAGUUUGCAAAAUAGUAACCAUUUGGACUGAGACGACUGCAUUAGAGUUAUGAGUGUAUAGCUUUCCCAUUCCCCUUUUCCCCACUUAGGCCAUUUCUCUUUUAAAUGUUCUAAAA